GAUGAACGCUGGCGGUAUGCUUAACACAUGCAAGUCGAACGGACUCUUCGGAGUUAGUGGCGGACGGGUGAGUAACGCGUGAGAAUCUGGCUUUGGGUUCGGGACAACCACUGGAAACGGUGGCUAAUACCGGAUGUGCCGAGAGGUAAAAGAGAAAUUGCCUGAAGAUGAGCUCGCGUCUGAUUAGCUAGUUGGUGAGGUAAAGGCUCACCAAGGCAGCGAUCAGUAGCUGGUCUGAGAGGAGGACCAGCCACACUGAGACUGAGACACGGCCCAGACGCCUACGGGAGGCAGCAGUGGGGAAUAUUCCGCAAUGGGCGAAAGCCUGACGGAGCAAUACCGCGUGAGGGAAGAAGGCUCUUGGGUUGUAAACCUCUUUUCUUAGGGAAGAACAAAAUGACGGUACCUAAGGAAUCAGCAUCGGCUAACUCCGUG
rnacentral:rRNA from 1 species